rnacentral:snRNA from 1 species
GCUUCUAGACCUUUUGGCUAAGAUGAAAUGCAGUAU